rnacentral:rRNA from 1 species
GUGAACGCUGGCGGCAGGCCUAACACAUGCAAGUCGAGCGGCAGCGCGGGGCAACCUGGCGGCGAGCGGCGGACGGGUGAGUAACGCGUAGGAAUCUACCCAGUAGCGGGGGAUAGCCCGGGGAAACUCGGAUUAAUACCGCAUACGCCCUAAGGGGGAAAGCAGGGGAUCUUCGGACCUUGCACUAUUGGCAGAGCCUGCGUUGGAUUAGCUAGUUGGUAGGGUAAAGGCCUACCAAGGCAACGAUCAAUAACUGGUCUGAGAGGAUGAUCAGUCCCACCGGAACGGAGAAACGGUCCGGGUUCCUACGGGAGGCAGCAGUGGGACAUAUUGGACAAUGGGGGCAACCCUGACCCAGCCGUGCCGCGUGUGUGAAGAAGGCCUUCGGGUUGUAAAGCACUUUAAGUGGGGAGAAAGGUUCGGCAGUUAAUACCUGCCGUAAGUGAUGUUACCCACAGAAUAAGCACCGGCUAACUUCGUGCCAGCCGCCGCCGUAA